rnacentral:rRNA from 1 species
AUUGAACGCUGGCGGCAGGCUUAACACAUGCAAGUCGAGCGGGGGAAGGUAGCUUGCUACCGGACCUAGCGGCGGACGGGUGAGUAAUGCUUAGGAAUCUGCCUAUUAGUGGGGGACAACAUCUCGAAAGGGAUGCUAAUACCGCAUACGUCCUACGGGAGAAAGCAGGGGAUCUUCGGACCUUGCGCUAAUAGAUGAGCCUAAGUCGGAUUAGCUAGUUGGUGGGGUAAAGGCCUACCAAGGCGACGAGCUGUAGCGGGUCUGAGAGGAUGAUCCGCCACACUGGGACUGAGACACGGCCCAGACUCCUACGGGAGGCAGCAGUGGGGAAUAUUGGACAAUGGGGGGAACCCUGAUCCAGCCAUGCCGCGUGUGUGAAGAAGGCCUUAUGGUUGUAAAGCACUUUAAGCGAGGAGGAGGCUACUCUAGUUAAUACCUAGGGAUAGUGGACGUUACUCGCAGAAUAAGCACCGGCUAACUCUGUGCCAGCAGCCGCUGUAA